UAUUGAUCAAAACUACCUUAUAGAUAAUACAUUCAAAAGCACAAAAUUUGCAAUCUGAUUAAAUUUUCUUAUAUUUUAAAAAUAUGUAUAUAAUUAAUUUAGGAACUUUACCAUGCUAUUUUACAAAUAAGAAAUAUGCUGAUUGUGAAUUUAGCAAGAUUUUUAACAUGGUUCAAAAAAAGGUGCAUUCAUAUAAUAUGAUAAUAAAAAUUCCAAGAAUUGUAUCAAGACAAGUACAUAAGAAUAAUAUUUCCGCAUAAUCAUUUGAGGAGUAUUACAGAAUUUCAACUUUUAUACCACCAAUGAAUACAUUAUUAACUCAAAUUAGUGAACGCUUAUUGAAUCAUAAACUGUUGCCCAAUAACUUUUAAUUUUGUUAUCCUCUGAUCCAUCAGUGAGCAUCUUGGAUGAGAUUAGAGAUAAAAUUCACUAUUUAUAUAUGUUUUAUUUGCAAGAUAUAGUAGGGACAUAAUUGGAAGUAAUUUGAAUUUAAAUAUUGGUAUGCAAGCUUAAAAAGAAUGAACAUUAAGCCUGAGAAUGCACUAAGUGCACUCAAUCAUGCCUCCCUAUUACGACUGUACUAAUAAAAGAACUUUCUCGAAUUUACGAAGGCUAAAAACAUAUUUGCGAAAUACACCUCGCAAAAUAGAUUAAAUGGCUUAUCGCUCAUAAAUAUUCUCCGAGAAUUAACAGAAACCCGCCGAAUGCCGGGCAAAAGCGGGCCGAAGCCCCGCCCAAAAUAGAAUCUGAAGGCGAAACCCCGAGAAAUUUAUUAAUCCCCCCCUUAAGAAAAUCCUGGCUACGCCUAUGCUACACUCUCAAAAUU